AUACGGAGGGUGCAAGCGUUAAUCGGAAUUACUGGGCGUAAAGGGUACGUAGGCGGUUAAAUAAGUUGGAUGUGAAAGCCCCGGGCUCAACCUGGGAACUGCAUUCAAAACUGUUUGACUAGAGCGUAUGAGAGGUUGGCGGAAUUCCAGGUGUAGCAGUGAAAUGCGUAGAUAUCUGGAGGAACAUCAGUGGCGAAGGCGGCCAACUGGCAUAACGCUGACGCUGAGGUACGAAAGCGUGGGGAGCGAACGGGAUUAGAAACCCUAGUAGUCC
rnacentral:rRNA from 1 species